UUACGGCCAUAUCACGUUGAAACACCGGUUCACGUAUGAUCACCGAAGUUAAGUAACGUCGAGCAGGGCCAGCAUGUAGGUGGGUUACUGUUUGGGAAUACCAGGUGUUGUAAG